rnacentral:rRNA from 1 species
AGUGAACGCUGGCGGUAGGCCUAACACAUGCAAGUCGAACGGCAGCACAGUAAGAGCUUGCUCUUACGGGUGGCGAGUGGCGGACGGGUGAGGAAUACAUCGGAAUCUACUUUUUCGUGGGGGAUAACGUAGGGAAACUUACGCUAAUACCGCAUACGACCUACGGGUGAAAGCAGGGGAUCUUCGGACCUUGCGCGAUUGAAUGAGCCGAUGUCGGAUUAGCUAGUUGGCGGGGUAAAGGCCCACCCAGGCGACGAUCCGUAGCUGGUCUGAGAGGCUGAUCAGCCACACUGGAACUGAGACACGGUCCAGACUCCUACGGGAGGCAGCAGUGGGGAAUAUUGGACAAGGGGCGCAAGCCUGAUCCAGCCAUACCGCGUGGGUGAAGAAGGCCUUCGGGUUGGAAAGCCCUUUUGUUGGGAAAGAAAAGCAGCAGGUUAAUACCCCGCUGUUCUGACGGUACCCAAAGAAUAGGCACCGGCUAACUUCGUG